rnacentral:rRNA from 1 species
UACAGAGGGUGCGAGCGUUAAUCGGAAUUACUGGGCGUAAAGCGUGCGUAGACGGUUAUUUAAGUCGGAUGUGAAAGCCCCGGGCUCAACCUGGGAAUUGCAUUCGAGACUGAAUAGCUAGGGUACGGUAGAGGGAAGUGGAAUUUCCGGUGUAGCGGUGAAAUGCGUAGAUAUCGGAAGGAACAUCAGUGGCGAAGGCGGGUCUCUGGGCCGAUACUGACGCUGAGGAGCGAAAGCGUGGGGAGCGAACAGG